UCACCUAUUCCAUAAAGGAUUCAGAGCC
rnacentral:piRNA from 1 species